CCCGGAAAUACCCCAACCUCAGAGUGACAGUAGUUCGGCCGGACCUGGCUUGCUUCCGCCUGAACCCGAAAGAAGAUGACAUCAUCAUUGAAGAUUUAUAGGUAGUGCGGACCUCGGGCUCCACUGGACGCCAGAGAGAGGCCAACAUCCAAAUGCACUCAGCAGGUGACAGAACGAUGCCAGCAAGACCUCCUUCUCCAUCUUUUCAUAGCGACAGAAGGGCAGCAGUGGCUGUGGGACCAGAUCAGGAUAUAUGAUCUACUCCCUGUGUAACUCCACGUGUCCAGAAGAAAAAGAACUGGAAAAUAAUGGAAUAAAAAUAAAUAUUUUUAAUGGAUUUUGAAUAAAUGCUCGAUAAAUUGUCACUGUUUUGAA